AGUUUCAAAAUUAUGCACCGGUUGCGCGUGUAAUAGACAUAAGCGCUAAUGCGUUUUAAUAGAAAUUGUUAUUGACGAUGUCAUUUUGGGGAGAUUCAGGUGGAUUUUUUGAAGAAAAUUCUGACGAAGAGAGUUUUUCGGAUAGUAAUCCAGUAUCUUCACUUAAUCAUGGUAGAGAUUCGGUAAUAUUUCUUAUUGAUGCCACUGAAUCGAUGGUUGAAAAUUCAAUUGAUGGAGCCACACUAUUUCAAACAUGUUUUAAGUGUCUUCAUAGUGUACUACUAAGCAAGAUAAUAUCAAGGGAAAAGGACCUUAUUGGUGUCGUAUUAUUCGGAACAAAUGUUAAAAAAAAUGAAAGUGAUUUUGAUAAUAUUUAUGAAUAUCAAAGUUUAGAUAUGCCUGAAGCUAAUCAAAUCUUAAAAGUCGAAAAUCUAUUAUCAGAAAAACCAAUUAAAGAGUUUAUUAAACAUUUAGGGCAUUCAAAUUCAUUUUCAAUAUCAGAAGCUUUAUGGGCUUGUUCAAGUAUGUUUGCAAACAGUUCAUACAAACUGGGUAAAAAAACUAUUCUUUUAUUUACUACCACAGACGAUCCUCAUUCUAAUAACUUAAAUUUAAAAAAGCAAGCUUUAAAAAGAGGGAGAGACCUUUCAGACCUUGGAAUUGAUUUGCAAUUAAUGCAUUUAAAAAAAGAAAAUCAUCACUUUGAUGUAAGUGCAUUUUACAAAGACUUAAUUAAUACUGAAGAUUAUAAUACUUUAAUUGAUCCAUCAGAAAAGUUUGAAGAACUUCUUACUAGAGUGAGAAUAAAAAGCCAUAACAAACGAACAGUAUGUCGGUUGUUGUUUUUUUUCAAUGAUAGCAUAAAAUUUGGAGUGUCAAUGUACAUUUUAAAUAAAUUGUGCACAAAAGGAAGCCAUGUAAAUAUUGAUAGAAGAACAAAUGAAGAAGUUCAGUGCUCAACAAAAUAUUUUUGCAAAGAUACAGGUCUUGAAUUAUUGUCUACUGAUAUUAAGUGUUACCAAAAUUUUGGAGGUGAAAAAGUUAUUUUCGAAAAGGAAGAAGUAGAUAAAAUGAAAGCUUUUAUUGAGCCUGGUUUUCAUUUAUUGGGGUUUAAAAAAAUCAAAUAUUUAAAGGACUUCUAUCAUAUUAAACCAUCAAGUUUCAUCUACCCAGAUGAAAAUAGUUAUUUAGGGAGCUCAAACAUCUUUGCAACACUUCUUAAAAGAUGUGUGGUAAAAAAAGUUUUGCCGAUAUGUGUUUUGGUAUCAAGCACUUUUUCUUGCCCACGAUUUGUUGCUUUAAUGCCUCAGACUGAACUUGAUGAUAAAAAAAGUGCACAAGUAAAUGCUCCUGGUUUCCAUGUAAUAUACUUACCCUAUAGUGAAGAUAUAAGAAAGUUAAAGUUAGAAAAUAGAUCAAGAGCUAAUGACGAUCAAGUUGAUAAAGCAAAGAAAUUAAUAGAAAAGUUGAAUAUUGAUUAUUCCAUAAGUAUGUUUGAAAAUCCAUCGAUUCAGAAAUUUUACAGGUGCUUGGAAGCAUACGCUUUGGAUAGAGAAGAAAUGGAUGAAUUUAUUGAUUCCACUCUCCCAAAAGUUGAUUAUAUGGAGAAGGAUGCUUCAAAAGAAAUACAAGAAUUCAAGGCUGCAAGCAACCACUAUUGGAGUUGAAAGUUACUGACUUCACUUCCAACAAUCAACCACUAUUGGAGUUGGAAGUUACUAUCUUCACAACAAGGCUGCAGGCAACCAAUAUUGGAUUUAUGAAUAUUUAACAUGAAUUUCAAAAGAAAUUGUAUUCCCAGAAGAUUAUAAUACUAACAAACGAGGCAAUUCUUCAACUUCAGAGUCAGUUUCAAAAAAAGUAAAAUGCGACGAAACAUCUGAAGUCGAUAUUGAGGCAGUUGCAAGAAACGGUUUACUAAAUAA
rnacentral:misc_RNA from 1 species